UACGGAGGGUGCAAGCGUUAAUCGGAAUCACUGGGCGUAAAGCGCGCGUCGGCGGCUUUUUAAGUCGGACGUGAAAGCCCUCGGCUCAACCGGGGAACUGCGUUCGAAACUGGGAAGCUUGAGUCCUGGAGAGGGUGGCGGAAUUCCGGGUGUAGGAGUGAAAUCCGUAGAUAUCCGGAGGAACACCGGUGGCGAAGGCGGCCACCUGGACAGGUACUGACGCUGAGGCGCGAAAGCGUGGGGAGCAAACAGG
rnacentral:rRNA from 1 species